GGAUUGAGUGCCUUCCGGGGAGCCCGGUGACAGGUGCUGCAUGGCUGUCGUCAGCUCGUGUCGUGAGAUGUUCGGGUUAAGUCCCGCAACGAGCGCAACCCUUAUCUUUAGUUACCAUCAUUAAGUUGGGGACUCUAAAGAUACUGCCCGGUUAACGGGGAGGAAGGUGGGGAUGACGUCAAGUCCUCAUGGCCUUUAUGUCCAGGGCUACACACGUGCUACAAUGGGUUGUACAAAGGGUUGCGAACUCGCGAGAGUAAGCCAAUCCCAAAAAGCAACUCUUAGUUCGGAUUGGAGUCUGCAACUCGACUCCAUGAAGCUGGAAUCGCUAGUAAUCGUGGAUCAGCAUGCCACGGUGAAUACGUUCCCGGGCCUU
rnacentral:rRNA from 1 species